UACGUAGGGUGCAAGCGUUAUCCGGAAUUAUUGGGCGUAAAGAGCUCGUAGGCGGUUUGUCGCGUCUGCUGUGAAAACUGGAGGCUCAACCUCCAGCCUGCAGUGGGUACGGGCAGACUAGAGUGCGGUAGGGGAGAUUGGAAUUCCCGGUGUAGCGGUGAAAUGCGCAGAUAUCGGGAAGAACACCCGUGGCGAAGGCGGCUCUCUGGGACGGUACUGACGCUGAGACGCGAAAGCGUGGGGAGCGAACAGG
rnacentral:rRNA from 1 species